AAAGCAACCUAUAGUCUGUUUCCUGCAGGGAUGCCAAGUUGGGCUUUUGUGGCGCGGUUCGAUUUCCCCCCUUGAGGGUUAAAGCAGGGCCGAUGCCACUAUAUGGACACUGUCCAUGCUGACCACAGGAGCAGAAACCCAGACCACUGCAAGGGCCACCAUUGAUAAGAGACUUCAGUCUGCUGCCUGACAGCUUAAAAUAUGAUGUCACCAGAGAAGGCGUUCCAGUGUGAGUCAUCUGGGAGCGGAGAAGGUGGAUUUGGAUCCCAGGUCCAGCUGACCUCUGGAGCUUCUCACCCGGACUGUUUGUGGAGCCAGACUUCAGAUUAGAGCGGCUGCAUUUCUCUGCUUUCUUUUCUUUCUGUUGAACUUGUCCGUCACCCCUUCCUCCCUCCCACAGUCCAUGUUUUCCAGAUAUGUCACUCCAGCAGGGAUAUAAACUGCUUUAAAGUGCCCUCCAACUUCUGGAAUGGACAGUCAAAUAACAACAGAUCAAUACUGUACGAUGCCAAACAGUGUUGCAUCAGUGGUUUGUUUGUCAUCUUUCAUGUGGACACCCCCUUCUCAUGUCAUAACUCAACAACAUGGAUAUCAUCGAGUUUCCCACUGGCCACUGAUUCCCAUGGCAUUCACCAACAUCACCGAUCCAUUCCGGACAACUGGAGGAUGGCUGUGAUGCUGCAGUCUUAAGGAUAAAGGGCCGGCCGUCACAGGGGCUUUUAUAGACGAUGGAUGUCACAAGUGUCAGACUAAAUAAACGGAGGGCAGCGCUGCUUAUUUGUAUGGCGUUAACAGGCGCGCAAAACCCCAAAGAGCCACGAAAGAGCCGGGCCGCCACCCAACAAGCAGGUGCAGGUCCAGCUGCGUGUGUUUGUUUGUCUUUGGUCUGUGUGACCCAGGACACUGACAGACGGCUGAGGCUGGUGGACGCCCGUGUGCCACGGUCAUGAGAGAUAUAUGGUUCUGUGAACUGGGUUCACACAGUGUCCCUCUCUGGCAUCUGGGUUCGGACCAGCGCAUGUGUUCGUCAACGCUGUGCCCCUCCAUUGCCUAACGUGUCGGGGUUUCUGCCUAAUAUAGCCAAGGGAUAAGAGGAGGAGCAGAGACUGAUAUCAACAUGUGUGUGAUCACCUUGGAGAGGCAUCAGGUGACUGUAACGCACUGAGAGGACGGAGCUGUAAUCCUGAAAGCGCUGUAUCGGGAUUAAAGCAAGGUCUGCAGUCAGUCUGAGCAGGUGUGCCUGAGAGACAAGAGCAGGUAGAAACCUUAAAGGAAUAGUUCACAGAAACAUGAUCAUUUUAUCAAGAUUUAUUCACAAAACAAUGCAUUUUGAAGAUCAUAGUUUAAUCAUCAAUUGAAUAAUAAUACACAAAGCAUGUCUCAAAGGGAAUUAGGCACAGACACACUUUUCUUGUGCUUUGCUCAGACAGCUGAUAAACUCUCACAGUGAUUGAUGCUCUGUUCUCUGAGAUAAAUGGCAUCUGCGGGACCCAGGAGGGCUCUAAUUGAAUUGGUUUCCAGAGAAUACUAAUGGGGCGUAAUGUUGAGAUAACUGAAGCCCUAAGAAUAAGUGAUCAUUGACAGCAUGUGUUUCUUGCCAGUAAUAAACAUGUCACACAGACGGGCAGUCAGUAGCUGCAACGCAAUUACCUCACUGCACCACACACUGCGCUCAAACCACUGAGAUAGCCAGCUGCAAAAUCAUUUCACAAAUACUACUCUGAAAUAGUCCUCAAAAGUGUGCAAACAUAAAAAAGUAAGUAAAGAAAGAAAAAAGUGUAUAAAAGUUUUUUGAAGGAAGAAGUCAUCUUUUAUGUGCACCAAGGCUGCAUUUAUUUGCAGCCUUGGUGCACAUAUUUAUUUGGAAAAUUUAUUUGGAAAUCAUUAUCCUUUUUUUCAGGA